rnacentral:misc_RNA from 1 species
AAAAGGGUCGGUGUUUUAACCUUUGACAAGUGUGAGAUAGGAGAUUUAUUGUAAAAGAGGGUAAGGUAUUCAGCUGAAGCAGCCUCUGAAAAGAUGUUUUUUCCUUCCUUCCCACACGCCUCUACGUAACACCAAUCAGGAAUAUCACUUGUACCAACCAUCAGUGACAGAUUACAGACAGGAUUCCGAGCAGCUGCAACGACAAAUCUAUCUGGAGCCUGGCCAAUUAAAUGAGUUGUCAAGAAACCUCCAUGUGAACCUCCAAGAACAGCCACUCUUGAUGCAUCUGCAAGUUUCUUUUCAAUGACAUAAUCUAAAGCUGCAAGUACAUCACUCACAUCCUGCGACCCAAUAUUUCCUGGAAGAGACUGCAGUGCUUCCUCACCAAAUCCCAACGAACCUCUAUAAUUUACAAUAAGCAAGUUGAAGCCUAAUAAAGAGAGAUAGGCUGACGAUUUUGAAUAGCUUGACAACCAA